UACGUAGGGUGCGAGCGUUGUCCGGAAUUAUUGGGCGUAAAGAGCUCGUAGGCGGUCUGUCGCGUCGGUCGUGAAAACUUGGGGCUUAACCCUGAGCUUGCGGUCGAUACGGGCAUGACUGGAGUUCGGUAGGGGAGACUGGAAUUCCUGGUGUAGCGGUGAAAUGCGCAGAUAUCAGGAGGAACACCGGUGGCGAAGGCGGCUCUCUGGACCACAACUGACGCUGAGGCGCGAAAGCUAGGGGAGCAAACAGG
rnacentral:rRNA from 1 species